ensembl:lncRNA
AGAGAAGAGAAGAGAAGAGAAGAGAAGAGAAGAGAAGAGAAGAGAAGAGAAGAGAAGAGAAGAGAAGAGAAGAAAAAGCACUCAGCAAGAAAGAGUUCUGCUUCAAAAUUACACCAAAUCUCAAAAGCGAGAGAGGAGGGAGAGGAAACAGAACUUCAAAGGUUUCAAUGUCUCUUAUUUUAUUGUGUUCAAGAGGACACCAACACUCUCAGCUAUCAGCCAGAACUGAACUUGUGCUAAGUCAAGAAGUGUUUGCAGGAGCAAGCCCUACAGUAACUCACUGACUGUAAUGAUCCAGAUGGAGCAAGCUUGAUAGGGUCUGGUCACCAGUUGGGAGAAUUUGAUAACUUUAAAAUAUCUUUAACAUGUCUAGAUAAAUUAUUAAUAAGGAAACAAACAAACCUAUGUUUGCACUUCAGGCUUAUCCU